rnacentral:rRNA from 1 species
AUUGAACGCUGGCGGCAUGCCUUACACAUGCAAGUCGAACGGCAGCACGGGUGCUUGCACCUGGUGGCGAGUGGCGAACGGGUGAGUAAUACAUCGGAACAUGUCCUGUAGUGGGGGAUAGCCCGGCGAACGCCGGAUUAAUACCGCAUACGAUCCACGGAUGAAAGCGGGGGACCUUCGGGCCUCGCGCUAUAGGGUUGGCCGAUGGCUGAUUAGCUAGUUGGUGGGGUAAAGGCCUACCAAGGCGACGAUCAGUAGCUGGUCUGAGAGGACGACCAGCCACACUGGGACUGAGACACGGCCCAGACUCCUACGGGAGGCAGCAGUGUGGAAUUUUGGACAAUGGGCGAAAGCCUGAUCCAGCAAUGCCGCGUGUGUGAAGAAGGCCUUCGGGUUGUAAAGCACUUUUGUCCGGAAAGAAAUCCUUGACUCUAAUACAGUCGGGGGAUGACGGUACCGGAAGAAUAAGCACCGGCUAACUACGUG